UUCGCCCCAUAGGACGCACACACAUUUCCCCUUCAUUUUUGGAGGGGGGAAAGUGCGUCCUAUUGGGCGAAAAAUACGAUCCUCAUUUCUCCAUUUACAAUUCUGACAAACAACUCUCUUUAACUUCCCAAUUUCUCUCUUCUGAGAAACAACCUGCAAAGCUGCGUUAAGGCGAACGGAUUUGUGGUGUUGUUUUUAACGAUGUGAACAUUUUAGGAAACGAAAGAUGAAAUAAAUCUGAAAAGCAAGUAUCUCCAGGAAAAGCUAUCUGGAGUUUUCAGCUCCUGCCUACCCGACCCAAACCCUGACACAUACACAAAAACCCAGAACUGAAACACAACUUAAAACAAGCUAUUUAUUAAGGCAAAAAUCCAGAGGGGGUUUUGAGUGUUUCUCCGACAGCGAGAUAUCAAUAACGGAGGGUUUUUUUUAUUAUUAUUAUUAAAAAACUGGCCCAAACUUU